GUGUCAGCCGCCGCGGUAACACGUAGGCACCAAGCGUUGUCCGGAUUUAUUGGGCGUAAAGAGCUCGUAGGCGGUUCAGUUAGUCGGGUGUUAAAACUCUGGGCUCAACCCAGAGACGCCACUCGAUACUGCUGUGACUAGAGUGCGGUAGGGGAGCGGGGAAUUCCUGGUGUAGCGGUGAAAUGCGCAGAUAUCAGGAGGAACACCAGUGGCGAAGGCGCCGCUCUGGGCCGUAACUGACGCUGAGGAGCGAAAGCGUGGGUAGCAAACAGGAUUAGAUACCCUGGUAGUCCACGCCGUAAACGUUGGGCACUAGGUGUGGGUCUCAACCAACGAGAUCCGCGCCGUCGCUAACGCAUUAAGUGCCCCGCCUGGGGAGUACGGCCGCAAGGCUAAA
rnacentral:rRNA from 1 species